CUUUUUAUGAGUUAAACUAGUUUCUUUCAAAGAGGGUACUUUUUUACCCUUUAAAGGGAACUUUGAUCUUACAGUGUAGGGAAAUUAUUAAAGUUAAUGCAUCAGAAUGCACAAAUUUACUUUAACAGCAGUAUUGGUACUCGUAUGUUUGACAUCUGUGAUGACGUACGAUCCAGAAGAUGUCGAAUUAAAAAAUGUUAUUCCUGCCAAUGGCACGUUCGCUGCAUUUUAUCCUCGUGAAAUGUAUGGAAAUCGAAAUGGCAAUGCAAGAGCACCGUUCGCACAUGGCAGUUUUUAUAAAAAUAGAAAUCCAGCGCUAGUUGAUGUUCGUAAUGCAGCUGCUUAUGGAUACCGUUUUGAUGGCAAGCGAAGGUUCAAUUAUCCUUGAUUAUUCGUAUAUAGUGUGAAAUUUUCUUAAAAAUUUUGAAGUUAUACUCAUUGUUUUAUAUAUAUUGAAAAGCUGUUCUAUCAUUCAUGAUGCUAUUUAUUGACAAUAAUAAAAGCGAUUCUAUUACACACGGUGAAAACAUAA